rnacentral:lncRNA from 1 species
GUGAGACGAGAGGUAAAAAUGGACAAGUGUCCGACAGUAGAAUUAGGGGUACAAGAUACCCACCUGAGAGAAAAAAAUGAAAGAUAGAGCAUCUCAUUCUCCUCAUAAAGUUUCUAAAAGCAAGGAAGGUAUGUAUCCCCUCAAAAGAGCAAAAGUAGAAUUAGACUUCCACCAUUGUUAUCACCAUCAUCACCAUACACCAUUCAUUGGCCACACAUGCACAUCUUGAUUUGACUUAUUGACUUGUUUCUCUGGAUCCAUGGUUUGACUACGCAAUAAAUGUCUUGUAAGUAUGUAUUAGCUAUCUCCCACCUAUGAGCUCCAGAUAUUAAAGCCUUAUUAGAGUAGGGUGAGAGAGAAGGCAAUGUCACUAUGCCUUAUACCACAAAUACCACAUAUCUUGAGAGAAGGCAUAUACCAUCACUGCCUUGGUAAGGAUCCAGAA